UACACCUAUCAUCAGUCCAGGGGCGUAGCUUCACCAUAGAGAAAAUGGUUCUUUGCACCCUUUAAGGGUUCUUUACAGCAUUCAAUGGUUUCAUAUAGAACCGUUUUCAUUGUCAAGUCAAAGGGUUCUUUUAAAGAACCAUUUUAAAACAGGCAGUUCAUGUCUCGUGAGUCUCUGCCUCGAGAAAAUCUCAAUAUAAUUGUCAGAGGCGUUCCAGACUUGGAGGAAAGCGAGUCUUGCAGUCUUGAGUUGUAGGAGCUUUGCCCAUGUUUCCACCUAUGAUGAGGACAGCCCUGCAAAAUCAGCAUGAUAACUUAAAUCUGCAAAAAGGACAAAGAUAAACAGCCUUGCUCCAAGUGCUGUUUGACCAUCUCAGUUCCUUCACAAUGAUGCACUGCAUAAGUCUCUGAAGUCCAAAGAAUAAAAGAAAGAUUGUGUCAGGAUCAGGGUGAAAGGGGAAAUUGCCAAUCCAAGAACCAGCAACUCUGAAGAGAACUUGCAGGACAGCUUCUUGAGUUGUAGGAGCUUUGCCCAUGUUUCCACCUAUGAUGAGGACAGCCCUGCAAAAUCAGCAUGAUAACUUAAAUCUGCAAAAAGGACAAAGAUAAACAGCCUUGCUCCAAGUGCUGUUUGACCAUCUCAGUUCCUUCACAAUGAUGCACUGCAUGAGUCUCUGAAGUCCAAAGAAUAAAAGAAAGAUUGUGUCAGGAUCAGAGUGAAAGGGGAAAUUGACAAUCCAAGAACCAGCAACUCUGAAGAGAACUUGC